rnacentral:rRNA from 1 species
AGAGUUUGAUCAUGGCUCAGAAUCAACGCUGGCGGCGUGCCUAACACAUGCAAGUCGAACGAGAAAGUGGAGCAAUCCAUGAGUAAAGUGGCGACCGGGUGAGUAACACGUGACUACCUGCCCUUGAGUGGGGGAUAACCUCGGGAAACCGAGGCUAAUACCGCAUAAUAUCGAAAGAUCAAAGGAGCAAUCCGCUUUUGGAGGGGGUCGCGGCUGAUUAGCUAGUUGGUAGGGUAAUGGCCUACCAAGGCGAAGAUCGGUAUCCGGCCUGAGAGGGCGCACGGACACACUGGAACUGAAACACGGUCCAGACUCCUACGGGAGGCAGCAGUGGGGAAUUUUGCGCAAUGGGGGAAACCCUGACGCAGCAACGCCGCGUGGAGGAUGAAGCCCCUUGGGGCGUAAACUCCUUUCGACCGGGAAAAUUAUGAUGGUACCGGUGGAAGAAGCACCGGCUAACUCUGUGCCAGCAGCCGCGGUAAUACAGAGGGUGCGAGCGUUGUUCGGAAUUAUUGGGCGUAAAGGGCGCGUAGGCGGUGUUGUAAGUCACCUGUGAAACCUCUGGGCUUAACUCAGAGCCUGCAGGCGAAACUGCAAUGCUGGAGGGUGGGAGAGGUGCGUGGAAUUCCCGGUGUAGCGGUGAAAUGCGUAGAUAUUGGGAAGAACACCGGUGGCGAAGGCGGCUCUCUGGACCGACACUGACGCUGAGGCGCGAAAGCGUGGGGAGCAAACAGGAUUAGAUACCCUAGUAGUCC